rnacentral:rRNA from 1 species
GGUAAUGAUGGCAGAGAGGACACACCCGUUCCCAUACCGAACACGGAAGUUAAGCUCUCUAGCGCCGAUGGUAGUUGG